rnacentral:lncRNA from 1 species
GUGGUCGGCCAAACCAGAAGAGAAGAGAAACCAAGGAAGAACAAACCCUAGGUGGGGAAAAUCAAAGAGAAAGUGUUGGAAUUCAAGGAUUUGAUCAAGCAAAGAUAAAAUUUCUUUGAUUUUGCUAGUGAUUUACCUUACCCAUGCAUUUCUCCUUAAUUUUCAUGGUUGGAUUGUAUGUUUUCAUGGGGAAAUCAUGGCUGGCCGAAUGGGUUUGGUGAGAGAAAUGAUGUUGGAAUUAUUUGAUUUUGAGUUAUGUUGGUGUUUAGAGUUAGUUAAGCAUGUUUAGAAACAAAACAACAAGAAAAGAAUCCAUUUUCCCCAUGAACCUUCAAUGGCCGAACCCUAUGUGAAGUGUAGAAG